rnacentral:miRNA from 1 species
CAGUGUCAAGAUGAUUCC